ensembl:lncRNA
GCAUUGGGAGCAUGGUCCUGGUUUGUUUGAUAGCCCUGUAGCAUAUCAAGAGAGAGAGUUGCGUUUUUGAACACAUGCUGUUGAACACUGAUGCUCAUAAUUCAACUCGCAGGUUAGAAUCUUACACGUUCUUAAAAUGAAGUAAGAAUCUUCCUCCUUAAAACUCUCCUGUUUGCUAAUUAAUGUCAAUGAAGCAUGCUGCAUCGACACUGUGACCCGCACUUGGCUUUUUGGCUCAUCUGCUCGACUCUUCUGUCCCCAAAUCCCUUGUCCCCUCUCCGUCUCUGAAUGUGACUAUGGGGUUGGUCUUAAGAUGGGGUCUUUAAGUCCCUCCGAAUGAUAUUCUUGCUACUGUUGGACUCACUCCAAUCUCCCCCAGACAUUUCAGCAUAUAUAGUUUGUAUAUUUUUGUAUUCCUUUUUCUUACAGACGAACUAAUAUGAAACAUCUGCAUGCUUCAUUUUGGCGCUUUAACCAGUGGUAGAGCCCAAAUAUGUCACAUUUCUUUUAUGUUGCCAGUAUCGGAUGUUGAUGGACUUCAGUUUUCAUGAGUUGCUGCAGACAAAAAUAUAUUUAAUAUGUGAUUAUAUAUCAUAUAAUAUUAUAUUGAUGAGUGUAUCAGGAGGCUGGCCAGCCUUAGAUAUGAGUGUAAAUAAAUGUUCACAAUAUUUUUACCUAACGUUAAAAAGAGAGCCUUUUUUGUAAAUGUAUCUUGUGUUCAAUAAUACUGCUGUAUCAAUUGAUAUGACAUCAUGUAUAUUGUAAAUAGCUCCAGCGGUCAUCUGUUCGGUUAGAUCUGUAGGUUUUAGCCAUAUUCUCUUCUCUCUACCCCCCGCGUUCAGUUUGAUAUUUUUCUAUCAAGAGAAAAGCACUUCAAUAGUAUUAAUUGCAAAACAAAAAAAUACAAUGUGAACUGUAAGUGGUGCUGGAAAAUGUCAAAGGAACAGCGAUCUAUGACCCACUCGAGUGGAGAGAGAGAAACACAAGCACAAAACCAUUUCUCAUUAGCUCAGCUCUAUGCACUUUCAAAAUGAGGUUUCGAGCAUUGCUAGUCUUUCUUCAAUAAAAACACCCGUGUUUUGGACUGCAGAAAUGUGCACUAUUGAACCAAUAGAUUUGCUAUAAUUGGCUCAAAAUAGGAUACUUCAACAAUUAUCUAUUUUAUUCCCAGAGCUUGAAGGAGGAAAGAUACUGACUGUUGUAGAAAGGACUUCAUUCAGCGUUUAAUUUAAUCUGCAUCGCCUGAAGCGCUACGACAAUUUCAGAUCGAGUCGGCAUUUGCAGCUCUUGCCGCAAAUGCAGUCUUUGUUAAUACGGGAACAUUGCCUUCAUAUUUCAAUCACGGUAUAACAUCGCCUGUACGAAUUAAUUACAGUUCAUAAUCGAGAAAUUUGCCUUGAUAGUUGUUUUUUCUAGAUCCUGGAGUAGUGUCCACCUUUCACCCUUAGCAAACUAAUGUGUAACUCUACCUUAUAAACAUCUAACGUAUAAACGGGAAAUUAAUAAUCAGCACGAUUAAUAGACUACUGUUAUAUCAUGUCAUCAUCUACUAGAUGAAAAAAUCCCACCCAACUUAAUGCCUCUUUCACUAAAUAGGGGAAAACAAUGUCCGUCAAAUUGGCUAUCAAUUCUAAAACCUGGGUAUGUUUCUGGUCAUGUCCAACCACGGUUCCGCUGUCAUUAAAUUAUUCAAGAAUGUAACAGUCAGAGAAACAUGGAGUCCCUGUGGCCACAGCUACUUACAGAUCAGUAACAGCCAGUUAGGAAAAAAAUAUAAGUGAAAACAUCUAUAAAUAAAUUGAAAUAUGUUGUAUGUUUUUUAAUAUCUUGUAGAAAAUACUUUUGUAAGUAUGUUGAAAGUAAAGUAUUUGCUGGAUUCUGCUUCCUUGGACAACAGUGACAAAACAAUAAUGUACAGAUGUAUUUGUGUUGAUAACAUAUACAAAAACGAUGUGGCUGUGCAAUUUAUGUACAUUUGCAACUAGACUUAUUAAAGUUUUAUUUA